GCCCUGGUGGUGCAGCGGUUAGGCACUCAGCUGCUAACUGAAAGGUUGGUAGUUCGAACCCACCCAGGGGUU
rnacentral:tRNA from 1 species